GCGGAAGUGGCGAAACUGGCAGACGCGCUAUCUUGAGGGGGUAGCGGGCAACGCUCAUGCGGGGUCGCGUCCCGCCUCCCGCACCC
rnacentral:tRNA from 1 species